rnacentral:rRNA from 1 species
AAGCACCGGCUAACUACGUGCCAGCAGCCGCGGUAAUACGUAGGGUGCGAGCGUUAAUCGGAAUUACUGGGCGUAAAGCGAGCGCAGACGGUUACUUAAGCAGGAUGUGAAAUCCCCGGGCUCAACCUGGGAACUGCGUUCUGAACUGGGUAGCUAGAGUAUGUCAGAGGGGGGUAGAAUUCCACGUGUAGCAGUGAAAUGCGUAGAGAUGUGGAGGAAUACCGAUGGCGAAGGCAGCCCCCUGGGAUAAUACUGACGUUCAUGCUCGAAAGCGUGGGUAGCAAACAGGAUUAGAUACCCUGGUAGUCCACGCCCUAAACGAUGUCGAUUAGCUGUUGGGCAGCUUGACUGCUUAGUAGCGUAGCUAACGCGUGAAAUCGACCGCCUGGGGAGUACGGUCGCAAGAUUAAAACUCAAAGGAAUUGACGGGGACCCGCACAAGCGGUGGAUGAUGUGGAUUAAUUCGAUGCAACGCGAAGAACCUUACCUGGUCUUGACAUGUACGGAACCUUCCAGAGACGGAAGGGUGCCUUCGGGAGCCGUAACACAGGUGCUGCAUGGCUGUCGUCAGCUCGUGUCGUGAGAUGUUGGGUUAAGUCCCGCAACGAGCGCAACCCUUGUCAUUAGUUGCCAUCAUUUAGUUGGGCACUCUAAUGAGACUGCCGGUGACAAACCGGAGGAAGGUGGGGAUGACGUCAAGUCCUCAUGGCCCUUAUGACCAGGGCUUCACACGUCAUACAAUGGUCGGUACAAAGGGUAGCCAAGCCGCGAGGCGGAGCCAAUCUCAUAAAACCGAUCGUAGUCCGGAUUGCACUCUGCAACUCGAGUGCAUGAAGUCGGAAUCGCUAGUAAUCGCAGGUCAGCAUACUGCGGUGAAUACGUUCCCGGGUCUUGUACACACCGCCCGUCACACCAUGGGAGUGGGGGAUACCAGAAGUAGGUAGGGUAACCGCAAGGAGCCCGCUUACCACGGUAUGCUUCAUGACUGGGGUGAAGUCGUAACAAGGUAGCCGUAGGGGAACCUGCGGCUG